rnacentral:rRNA from 1 species
UUGAUUUCCUUCGGGACUGAUUAUUUUGUGACUGAGUGGCGGACGGGUGAGUAACGCGUGGGUAACCUGCCUUGUACAGGGGGAUAACAGUUGGAAACGGCUGCUAAUACCGCAUAAGCGCACAACAUCGCAUGAUGCAGUGUGAAAAACUCCGGUGGUAUAAGAUGGACCCGCGUUGGAUUAGCUAGUUGGUGAGGUAACGGCCCACCAAGGCGACGAUCCAUAGCCGACCUGAGAGGGUGACCGGCCACAUUGGGACUGAGACACGGCCCAAACUCCUACGUGAGGCAGCAGUGGGGAAUAUUGCACAAUGGGCGAAAGCCUGAUGCAGCGACGCCGCGUGAGCGAAGAAGUAUUUCGGUAUGUAAAGCUCUAUCAGCAGGGAAGAUAAUGACGGUACCUGACUAAGAAGCACCGGCUAAAUACGUGCCAGCAGCCGCGGUAAUACGUAUGGUGCAAGCGUUAUCCGGAUUUACUGGGUGUAAAGGGAGCGCAGGCGGUGCGGCAAGUCUGAUGUGAAAGCCCGGGGCUCAACCCCGGUACUGCAUUGGAAACUGUCGUACUAGAGUGUCGGAGGGGUAAGCGGAAUUCCUAGUGUAGCGGUGAAAUGCGUAGAUAUUAGGAGGAACACCAGUGGCGAAGGCGGCUUACUGGA